GGGGGGGGGGGGGGGGGGGCCGGGCGGAGGCGGGGCGGGCGGGGGAGGGGGGCGGGCGCCUGGAGGCAGCGGCGGGCGGGGGAGUAAUGCCUAGGAAUCUGCCUGGGAGUGGGGGAUAACGUCCGGAAACGGGCGCUAAUACCGCAUACGUCCUGAGGGAGAAAGGGGGGGAUCUUCGGACCUCACGCUAUCAGAUGAGCCUAGGUCGGAUUAGCUAGUUGGUGGGGUAAAGGCCUACCAAGGCGACGAUCCGUAACUGGUCUGAGAGGAUGAUCAGUCACACUGGAACUGAGACACGGUCCAGACUCCUACGGGAGGCAGCAGUGGGGAAUAUUGGACAAUGGGCGAAAGCCUGAUCCAGCCAUGCCGCGUGUGUGAAGAAGGUCUUCGGAUUGUAAAGCACUUUAAGUUGGGAGGAAGGGCAGUAAGUUAAUACCUUGCUGUUUUGACGUUACCAACAGAAUAAGCACCGGCUAACUUCGUG
rnacentral:rRNA from 1 species